UGGGGUCACUGCCCCUCUCCCCGCCCCAGGUGCGCGGGGCUGGGAUAUGAGCCAGUCACUGCCUUUGUGCCUUUCCUUCUCUCUCCGCUGCCGGGUUCAACCAGCGGACAGUGGGGGAACGGCGGGCAGGUCGGUGGAGUUAGAUGACAGUAAAGGUGGGCCGGCUCUGUGUGAUAAGAUUCCAACUGGGUCCGACCGCUUCCGUCCGCUGGCGCCGGGUCCCCCAGACGUCUGCGGCGAGCGUUGGAACUGACCAUCAACCUGGGAUUUCUAAGGAAUAACAGAUAACUCUGUUGGCGUGUGAGAAUGCGAUCUCGGCUCAUCGCAGCCUGGACCUUCCUGGGCUCCGUCAGGUGAUCUUGCCAUCUCAGUCUUCCAAGUGGCUGAGACUGCAGGAAUAGCUUGAUUCUGGGAUGUCGAAGCUGCAGUGAGCCAUGAUCACGCCACUGCCCUCCAGCCUGAGUGACAGAGAAAGACCCUGUUUCAGAAA
rnacentral:lncRNA from 1 species